rnacentral:rRNA from 1 species
CAUCGGAAUCUACUCUGUCGUGGGGGAGUAACGUAGGGAAACUUAACGCUAAUACCGCAUACGACCUACGGUGAAAGCAGGGAUCUUCGGACCUUGCGCGAUUGAAUGAGCCGAUGUCGGAUUAGCUAGUUGGCGGGGUAAAGGCCCACCAAGGCGACGAUCCGUAGCUGGUCUGAGAGGAUGAUCAGCCACACUGGAACUGAGACACGGUCCAGACUCCUACGGGAGGCAGCAGA